UCGAACGGCAGCACGGAGCUUGCUCUGGUGGCGAGUGGCGAACGGGUGAGUAAUAUAUCGGAACGUACCCUGGAGUGGGGGAUAACGUAGCGAAAGUUACGCUAAUACCGCAUACGAUCUACGGAUGAAAGUGGGGGAUCGCAAGACCUCAUGCUCGUGGAGCGGCCGAUAUCUGAUUAGCUAGUUGGUAGGGUAAAAGCCUACCAAGGCAUCGAUCAGUAGCUGGUCUGAGAGGACGACCAGCCACACUGGAACUGAGACACGGUCCAGACUCCUACGGGAGGCAGCAGUGGGGAAUUUUGGACAAUGGGCGCAAGCCUGAUCCAGCAAUGCCGCGUGAGUGAAAAAGGCCUUCGGGUUGUAAAGCUCUUUUGUCAGGGAAGAAACGGUGAGAGCUAAUAUCUCUUGCUAAUGACGGUACCUGAAAAAUAAGCACCGGCUAACUACGUGCCAGCAGCCGCGGUAAUACGUAGGGUGCAAGCGUUAAUCGGAAUUACUGGGCGUAAAGCGUGCGCAGGCGGUUUUGUAAGUCUGAUGUGAAAUCCCCGGGCUCAACCUGGGAAUUGCAUUGGAGACUGCAGGCUAGAAUCUGGCAGAGGGGGGUAGAAUUCCACGUGUAGCACUGAAAAUGCGUAAA
rnacentral:rRNA from 1 species